GGGACACGUGGUAUCCUGUCUGAAUAUGGGGGGACCAUCCUCCAAGGCUAAAUACUCCUGACUGACCGAUAGUGAACCAGUACCGUGAGGGAAAGGCGAAAAGAACCCCGGCGAGGGGAGUGAAAAAGAACCUGAAACCGUGUACGUACAAGCAGUGGGAGCACCUUCGGGUGUGACUGCGUACCUUUUGUAUAAUGGGUCAGCGACUUAUAUUCUGUAGCAAGGUUAACCGUAUAGGGGAGCCGCAGGGAAACCGAGUCUUAACUGGGCGUUAAGUUGCAGGGUAUAGACCCGAAACCCGGUGAUCUAGCCAUGGGCAGGUUGAAGGUUGGGUAACACUAACUGGAGGACCGAACCGACUAAUGUUGAAAAAUUAGCGGAUGACUUGUGGCUGGGGGUGAAAGGCCAAUCAAACCGGGAGAUAGCUGGUUCUCCCCGAAAGCUAUUUAGGUAGCGCCUCGUGAACUCAUCUUCGGGGGUAGAGCACUGUUUCGGCUAGGGGGUCAUCCCGACUUACCAACCCGAUGCAAACUACGAAUACCGAAGAAUGUUAUCACGGGAGACACACGGCGGGUGCUAACGUCCGUCGUGAAGAGGGAAACAACCCAGACCGCCAGCUAAGGUCCCAAAGUCAUGGUUAAGUGGGAAACGAUGUGGGAAGGCACAGACAGCCAGGAUGUUGGCUUAGAAGCAGCCAUCAUUUAAAGAAAGCGUAAUAGCUCACUGGUCGAGUCGGCCUGCGCGGAAGAUGUAACGGGGCUAAACCAUGCACCGAAGCUGCGGCAGCGACACUAUGUGUUGUUGGGUAGGGGAGCGUUCUGUAAGCCUGCGAAGGUGACCUGUGAGGGUUGCUGGAGGUAUCAGAAGUGCGAAUGCUGACAUAAGUAACGAUAAAGCGGGUGAAAAGCCCGCUCGCCGGAAGACCAAGGGUUCCUGUCCAACGUUAAUCGGGGCAGGGUGAGUCGACCCCUAAGGCGAGGCCGAAAGGCGUAGUCGAUGGGAAACAGGUUAAUAUUCCUGUACUUGGUGUUACUGCGAAGGGGGGACGGAGAAGGCUAUGUUAGCCGGGCGACGGUUGUCCCGGUUUAAGCAUGUAGGCUGGUUAUCCAGGCAAAUCCGGAUAAUCAAGGCUGAGGUGUGAUGACGAGGCACUACGGUGCUGAAGUAACAAAUGCCCUGCUUCCAGGAAAAGCCUCUAAGCAUCAGGUAACAUCAAAUCGUACCCCAAACCGACACAGGUGGUCAGGUAGAGAAUACCAAGGCGCUUGAGAGAACUCGGGUGAAGGAACUAGGCAAAAUGGUGCCGUAACUUCGGGAGAAGGCACGCUGGUGUGUAGGUGAAGCCCCUGCGG
rnacentral:rRNA from 1 species